rnacentral:rRNA from 1 species
UACGUAGGGUGCAAGCGUUAAUCGGAAUUACUGGGCGUAAAGCGUGCGCAGGCGGUUUUGUAAGUCUGACGUGAAAUCCCCGGGCUCAACCUGGGAAUUGCGUUGGAGACUGCAAGGCUGGAGUCUGGCAGAGGGGGGUAGAAUUCCACGUGUAGCAGUGAAAUGCGUAGAGAUUGGAAAGAACACCGAUGGCGAAGGCACUUUACUGGGCUAUUACUAACACUCAGAGACGAAAGCUAGGGUAGCAAAUGGG